GACGAACGCUGGCGGCGUGCUUAACACAUGCAAGUCGAACGAAGCUGCGGACGGGGUAGUAAUUCCUAGGAAUCUGCCUGGUAGUGGGGGAUAACGUCCUGAAACGGGCGCUAAUACCGCAUACUAUCAGAUGAGCCUAGGUCGGUUGAGCUAGUUGGUGGGGUAAAGGCCUACCAAGGCGACCAGCCGUAACUGGUCUGCGAGGAUGAUCAGUCACAUGUGAACUGGGAAACGGUCCAGACUCCUACGGGAGGCAGCAGUGGGGAAUAUGGGACAAUGGGCGAAAGCCUAAUGCAGCCAGGCCGCGGGUGUGAAGAAGGUUUUCGGAUUGUAAAGCACAUUAAGUUGGGAGGCGUUACCAACAGAAUAAGCACCGGCUAACUUCGUGCCAGCAGCCGCGGUAAUAC
rnacentral:rRNA from 1 species